UGGACUAGUGUAUUUAUAGGUGCAUAUACAUAACCUGCAUACAUAUGGCAUAUAUAGUCAGUACAUAACUUGCAUUAAAAGUUCUAAAAUCAAAACCCUUGCUGAUAAUCAUACAGUUAAUUUGGUUGAUACCAGCUCUGUUCUUUUUUCCUGGUCUCAGUAACGUGUGAUAAUCAGAGAACAGCAGGGAGCUGUGGAAGGAGGUAGAAACACAACAGCUUCUUGUCAUCCCCAUGUCUCUCUCGCUGUGGCGCAAUGCUCCUGUCUGCCUCCAGGCGGAGCUAUUAGAGGGAAUCAGGCUGCUGAGGGUUGGCGGGGGGGAAUGUGGACCCCCCCCCCUUGUGGUAUCAAGGGGUGUCCCAUCGGGGAGUGGGGCUCUCCUUCGCAAUGUGUACAGCUGUUAGGAAUGCUCUGUCCUAGCCCAUGUUGCUAAGCGCUUAAUUGAGCCAAUUGUUUAUCUUAAUUGGGAUUUAAGUUUUUGACAGUCUUUGAAAGCCACCACCACAUCACGGAAAAGAUGGUGACAAAGGCCAAUUAAGUUCAUAAUUAGCUAACCGGGGAAGGUAGGAGGCCCAAACAGAAAGCAACAGAUUCGGACUGCUCUGGAUGAACAACGCUCUGCAGAGGAAGUGACAUCACAGUCUGGCUUGCCAGCCCGCUUCCUGUGCAACCUAGAGCUCAGCCCAGGGUAACCACUGUCGCAUCCCCCAAGCGUUAAAGGAACCUGGGCUCCAGCACAGGCAGUCAGGGCAGAAAAAGAUGACGGACGCAAUGAUACCCACUGUCCAAUUUGAUCCGUGGGGCCAUCAGACGUUAAAAUCUGGCCACUAUGAUGAUCACAGAAGCAAGGUUAGGAUGUCUCACUGAUGGCCGUACAGAACAGCCCUCUCUUCGCUCUCUCCCAGGGCCUGUCUGUCUAGCGCCUGUCUCACCCUGGUGCUGCAUCAGGGUCCUGUCCUUCUUUACUCCACUGCGUUGUUCUUCAAUAGGCACAUGUCUGCUGUCUGUGUUGGUGAAUAUCGGCUCUGACAAACAGCUUCUGGGGGCAGACACCUGUUACAGCAUCAGUGCAGUCCCGGCAGUGCAGGCAGUGCUGACAGUGGCACUUUAUCGAGAACUGCUCAAUGACAGAUCUCCAGCAUGACCACAGGGUGGGAUCAAGGAUGCAGUACUGAGGUGAAACAGGCGUAGUCACAAAGGCCCAGUGUGGAGAAAUUUUAGGAUGCUGUAAGGACAGUAUACUCUUCCCAAGACAAUAUACAGCAUAGCCCCCAGUAAGCCUCUUUUUAUAAAAAACUGCAAUGAUCUGAUUACCAGAGAGACAGUUCCUUGUUUGUAUGUCCAUCAAUGUCCUGUUCCCAUGGAGACAGCGUUGAAUACAUCAUCCCUAGGCAUGCUCUUCCCAUAGUGACGGUCCAGAUGGUUUCAGUGAAAACCACUGCUGUAUUUUUUCCUGGUUCCAUCCCAACAGUCCAGAAUUAUGCGAGUUUCUAUGGAAACCAUCAAUGGGUCACUGCAUUCCCAUAGAAACGGUCCGGAGUUUCCAUGGUGACAGUGGGCUCUUCUCCUGCGAGGAGCGCAGGACGAAGGCAGUGUGUUGGCCACAGCAGAGACAGACAGAGGCGGCCCGUGACGGCGUUCGGACAUGGAAGACAUCGCUUCAGCCUUUGGAAUUUGUGCAUUUUUGGAGAUGGAAGACGUGGAGUGACGUUUCAUGCUGGAACUCGACAGUGUGAGAGUGUAUUUGUGUAUGAGUGU